GCGCAGCCCGAGUUGCUCCACCCACCCGCAAGGACGCCGUCGUCUUCAACACCACAACACAACCCCACCGCUGCUGCUACUCAUGGAGGUCGACGCCACCGAUGCUGGUUCUCACAGAGGUUGAUGUUGCCGCGGGAGCCCUUCUCGUCUGAAGGCGUCGACGAUGCAUUGCCUCCUCCAAGCCGCAACAGCAACCACGUCUGUGUCCACGCCGGCCCGCCGCGUCUAGCCGCUGACCGUCGCACGCCGCUCUCUGCAAUCAUCCCAGUGUUCUCCAAUUGGCCCAUGUAGCGAAUUUUGGGCUUGCUAAGACCUUGCAGCGUGAGGCAGGUGACAGAGGUGCUGGUGCUGGUGCCGGUGCCGGUGCCGGUGCCGGUGCCAUGUCCAGGGUUGUUGGAUCAUAUGAAUACAUUGCCCCAGGAGCAAAGUCAGAACUUGUAAAUGGUUGAUCACAUGGUGCUUGACAUGAAUUCCUAAGAGAAGGCUUGUUCUAAUUUUCCGGGAGAUGUAUAGAUGGAGAAGAAACAAAAGCUUGUGCAGUAUAGAGAAUUCUUUGAUAAGACCCUUGCCUCACCUGAUCUUACAAAUAAUGAGAUGCUCAAAAAACUUGUUGAAAGCCAACUUGUAUGUU